CCUACGGGAUGCAGCAGUGAGGAAUAUUGGUCAAUGGACGAGAGUCUGAACCAGCCCAGUAGCGUGAAGGAUGACUGCCCUAUGGGUUGUAAACUUCUUUUAUAUGGGAAUAAAAUGUUCCACGUGUGUGAUUUUGUAUGUACCAUAUGAAUAAGGAUCGGCUAACUCCGUGCCAGCAGCCGCGGUAAUACGGAGGAUCCGAGCGUUAUCCGGAUUUAUUGGGUGUAAAGGGAGCGUAGGUGGAUUGUUAAGUCAGUUGUGAAAGUUUGCGGCUCAACCGUAAAAUUGCAGUUGAAACUGGCAGUAUUGAGUACAGUAGAGGUGGGCGGAAUUCGUGGUGUAGCGGUGAAAUGCUUAGAUAUCACGAAGAACUCCGAUUGCGAAGGCAGCUGACUGGACUGCAACUGACACUGAGGCUCGAAAGUGUGGGUAUCAAACAGGAUUAGAUACCCGGGUAGUC
rnacentral:rRNA from 1 species